AGAAUCAACGCUGGCGGCGUGCCUAAUACAUGCAAGUCGAACGCGAGAGGGGCUUCGGCCCUGAUUGAGUGGCGAACGGGUGAGUAACACGUGGGUGAUCUACCUUUGAGUGGGGGAUAACGUUCCGAAAGGAACGCUAAUACCGCAUGACGUUCUGGGUUUGAAGACCUGGAAACCAAAGCCGGGGACCGCAAGGCCUGGCGCUUGGAGAGGAGCCCGCGCCUGAUUAGCUAGUUGGUGAGGUAACGGCUCACCAAGGCUGCGAUCAGUA
rnacentral:rRNA from 1 species